rnacentral:rRNA from 1 species
GACGAACGCUGGCGGCGUGCUUAACACAUGCAAGUCGAACGGAAAGGCCCUGCUUUUGUGGGGUGCUCGAGUGGCGAACGGGUGAGUAACACGUGAGUAACCUGCCCUUGACUUUGGGAUAACUUCAGGAAACUGGGGCUAAUACCGGAUAGGAGCUCCUGCUGCAUGGUGGGGGUUGGAAAGUUUCGGCGGUUGGGGAUGGACUCGCGGCUUAUCAGCUUGUUGGUGGGGUAGUGGCUUACCAAGGCUUUGACGGGUAGCCGGCCUGAGAGGGUGACCGGCAACAUUGGGACUGGGAUACGGCCCAGACUCCUACGGGAGGCAGCAGUGGGGAAUAUUGCACAAUGGGCGGAAGCCUAAUGCAGCAACGCCGCGUGCGGGAUGACGGCCUUCGGGUGGUAAACCGCUUUCGCCUGUGACGAAGCGUGGGUGACGGUAAUGGGUAAAGAAGCACCGGCUAACUACGU